rnacentral:rRNA from 1 species
GGGUCAGUAGGUUGGUCGUGCCACCGGUACGUACUGGUCUCACUGAUUCCUCCUUCCUGAAGAACCGUAACGCCAUUAAUUUGGUGUUGCGGGGAAACAGGACUGUUACUUUGAAAAAAUUAGAGUGUUUAAAGCAAGCUAACGCUUGAAUACAUUAGCGCGGAAUAAUGAAAUAGGACGAUCGAUCCUAUUUUGUUGGUUUCUAGGAUUGACGUA